rnacentral:lncRNA from 1 species
UAAGAGUGACAGCACACAGACCUUCAUGAGGAAACUCCAAAACACCUUUGCUUGAAAGGACCAGGGUAGAAUCGGCAACUAUUGAACGGUUAGAACAGAAGCAAGAAACAUUAACCAUCCACUGUUCCCAUCAGUUUAAAGAAACUCUUUAGACAUCAACUCAGCAUAUUUGCAAACCAAGAAAGAACCAGCUCAAACAUGCUAGAAAGUAGUCAUCGAUGUAAUUGCUAUUUUCCCAUCGGCGGUGGAAAACGUCUGGCAAGACUAUAAUCCCAGCAUGGAAGAGACCUCCACAAGACCUGCCUGUUCAGCUGCUCAAACCAUAACUCUAAAUCCUGCUGUCCUUCUGUACUUGUUACAGAGUGACCAUUGUAUCAUUUUUUAUGUCUAUCUUAUUAGAAUAUGAUAAUAUUAUAAAGUGUUGAAUUCUAAACUAUUUUACUGUUUUGUAAUGUGUUACUAGUUUGUAC